rnacentral:rRNA from 1 species
AUGGCGGCUGAUGGCGCAGGGGGCAGCGGAUCACAUCCGGAUGAAUCGUUGGAUGAGAAACUUAAAUACCUGAAUCUCAGGGAAGAUGAAGAAGAAGAUGUGAUUUUGGAGGAGGAUCUAGAAGAUCUGGAGAAGGACGCGGAAUUCAUGGCGUUGGCAUGAGUUCAUACCGCGAGAAAAUUCAGCCACGGGGCCUUCUAUAACACGAUGAAAUCUGCUUGGAACCUUGCACAACAGGUGGAAUUCAGGGCCAUAGAAGACAACUUGUUCUCGGUGCAGAUUGCAUGCUUGGCAGAUUGGGAG